rnacentral:lncRNA from 1 species
UUCCAACUUCACUACUUUUGAGCCAUUUUGAACAAUAUCCUCACCAGAAUCAGACCAGAAACUGUUCAAAUCCUUGCUUUGGGAUUGAAUUCCAUCAAACUCUUCUAAACCUACUUCAAUAUUGGGAUCAGAGCCAGUGAUUUUGUUCUCAUGGGACUUCAAACUCUCCAAUUUCAGAAUCCUACCACUCAAUUCCUCGUCACCUUGAAAAGAUCCUGCGAUGCCGGACUCAGCUUUCGAAUCAAGUUCGUUAAAUUUACGCUCAUCCGACCUAUCACUGCCAGAAUCAGACCAUAAUUCGC